AAGCUUAUAGUGUAAUGGAUAGCACCCAAGGCUACGAACCUUGUAGUAUGAGUUCGAAUCUUAUUAAGCUUA
rnacentral:tRNA from 1 species